GACUAUAUAAACUGAUUGCACGAGUUCCAGCAGUGGCUGCUUAUCUCUAUCAAAGGUGAGAGUAUGUACGAGCAUUGAUAUGUUGCCCAAACUGCAUGGAUUCAGAAUGGAACUAUACAAGAGAACAUCCUAUUUAGCAUGCCAAUGAAUUCAAGCAAAUACAAGGAAGUUCUUCGAGUUUGUUGUCUGGAGAAAGACAUGGAGAUGAUGGAGUUUGGAGACCAAACUAAGAUUAGAGAGAGAGAGAGAGAGAGGGAUUAAUCUGAGUGGUGGCCAGAAGCAGAGAAUUCAACUCACCAGGGCUGUUUAUAAGGACUCUGAUGUUUAUCUACUUGAUGAUGUCUUCAGUGUUGUUGAUGCUCAUACUAGUUGUGAGAUCUUCAAGGAAUGCGUCAGAGGAGCUGUCAAAGAUAAAACUGUCGUGCUUGUUACUCACCAAAUUGACUUCUUGCACAAUAUCAAUUGCAUCUACGGUUAAUUCAAGUUUACGGAUGGAUUUCACAACAAUGGAUCCAACGAAUGGCAAGGAUUCCGGUUAGAAUUAAUUGGGAGCUUUGUCCUCUGCAUCGCCGCUUUGCUCAUUGUCAUGCUUCCUGCGAAUAUUAUCCAACCAGGUACCUCUUGAAAAGCUAUCCCAUUUUUCUGCUUUCUUUAGUUUGAUAACAUAUCACACUAGUAUAGUGUAGAUGAUAAUUAACGUACAGGUUUUGGAGUUAAAAUUAGCUGUAGGCUUAGAAAUAACCAUUCAAGGACUCAUAGGUGUUUGGCUGAUAUCUGAAUAUGCUCAACUAUAACACAAAGGCUGUUUGUGGUUGGCAUGUGGUAUGUGGGAACUCACAUGUGUUUCUUGUGAUGCAUAAUAUGUAGGCCUAUCUCUGUCCUACAGCCUCAGUUUGAAUACCGAGUUUCAAAUGUCUUCAGUUGUGUCCAUAAUUAAAGGUGAGACCCUAUGUAUAAUAGCUAAGAUGCACAAAAAAAAUCAAAGUUUUGUUAGAUAGUCAUGACAUGGUCAUUUAGUUUGAACCUUGUGGACUCUUGGGCUGGAGAUAAAGUGAAAGCAUGGCAUACUAUUGGACUUUCAGAUCAUUUGCAUCAUUCUCAUGAUAUGUUUAGGGUUUAGAUUUGAGAGUAUUUUUAAAAUGUUUUGAGAUUAAAAAUAUCUGUA